UCCUCCACAUCUCUCCACAGAGUGGCGGCGGCUGCGCCGACGCAAGCCGAUGGAGGCUUGUCAGCGUCUUCUCCUUCCAUUCUUCUCCACCGGCCGACUGUCCACAUCCUUCUCCUCGUGCAGUCGUGCUCCUACUUCGCACCACUUCUUCUAUGGCAGCGCUAGAGAACCAGAUACUACGUGCUUGUCGACGACCGCGGAACAACAUCGACCAGCCGCAGCCGCAGCCGCAGCCGCUGGCUGCUCCGCCGCCGUAUCAAUCCUUCCCCGGCUUCGGCGCGGGCCUCUGCACCUGCGCUGCCAGUUCGAUCGACGACGACCGCGUCCGCUCUACAUGUACUCUGCCAAAUAGCACAAGCGCAGGAAUCUGCCACAAAAUAUGGAGUCGAAGAGGGUGAACAUUGUUGAUUGUCUAACUGAUGAUAUAUUGGUGGAAAUCCUCUCUCGAGUGCCACCCAAGUCUUUUUGCCGCUUCAAAUGUGUGUGCAAGGCUUGGCUUGCCUUCUCCUCUGAUCCUCUCUACCGUCGGAAGCUGCCAAAAACUUCCACUGGUCUUCUCUACAAACCUCAAUACGGGUCUGCUAUUCAGCUUGUUGGCAUGUCCCCAAAUGAUGAGGAAAUUGAUGGAGCUUUUACAUUCAUCCCUCAGUACGAGCAAUUAGAACUUGUGGACUAUUGCAAUGGCCUGGUACUUUGCCGGUACAAGAGCAGAUAUACUUCUGCAGAAACUUGCCGCUUCAUUGUUUGCAACCCAGCAACACGAGAGUGGAGGACGCUGCCUAUUCUUAAUACUCCAUAUGGCCCAAAUGUCUCCCCCUAUACAGCUUUUUUGGCCUUCGAUCCAUCAUGGUCGGGAAAGUUCUAUGUCUUCAACUUUCAGGAGAAGUUAAAAAACAACUUGCCACUUGUUAUCUACAAACUUGAGGUGUUCUCGUCUGACCUAUGUGAGUGGCUUGUCGAUGAUGCAUGGAGUGGGAACCAUAGGAUAAUGGUCAAUAAACCACACAACUUUAUAGGUGGGGUGUUUCAUGUGCAUAGCAACACUAGUGAGAUUCUUGUGGUUAAAGGCUUGAGUUCUGGCAUAAUGCCAUAUCAUUAUACUAUCAAGCUGCCGGGUGACUGUUGGAAUGGUUGCUUCAGCCAAUCAAUGGGGCUUUUGCAGUGCGCAUUUCCAGAGGAGGGCGGCAGUACAAUUGCAGUUUUCACUCUUGAUGAUUAUCGUCCUUGCAAGUGGUCUCUAAAGCAUCGUUUUUGUAUGGGAGAUGCAUUUGGAAGGGACAACUUCCUUCCCAACCGAGAUUAUCUGUCCUGGUUGUGUUUUUAUCGGAUUGUUGCUCUUGACUUGGAAAGAGGGGUCCUCUUCCUCGUUGACAAGGAGUCAAAUAAGCUUUUCUCAUACAAAACUAGCACAGGGCAACUUAGUGAGAUUAAAGAUGGUCGCCUCGGUUGGACCUGGGAAUGCUUUUAUUACGUGGCAUGCUACUCAAAGCUCCCAGUGCUGAGCCGUUUAUGUGAUGUAAUUGAGUAGUAGCAUGUCUUUGUGCAUCUUCUUUUUCCUAACAUUGCAGUGGAUGCAUGCCCCUGUUUCUCCUUUGUACGCACGAAAACUGGCUAAUGAUAUUUAAUUGUGGCACCUA